UACGUAGGGUGCGAGCGUUAAUCGGAAUUACUGGGCGUAAAGUGUGCGCAGGCGGCAGAGCAAGUCGAGUGUGAAAGCCCCGGGCUUAACUCGGGAAUUGCGCUCGAAACUACUUUGCUGGAGUGUGGCAGAGGAAGGUGGAAUUCCACGUGUAGCGGUGAAAUGACGUAGAGAUGUGGAGGAACACCAAAUGGCGAAGG
rnacentral:rRNA from 1 species